rnacentral:lncRNA from 1 species
CAUGGUUUAGUGGGCGACAUUGGUAGUAAGGGGAUGGUUGGACCAGAUGAUCUGGGAGGUCUUUGCCAACCUGAAUGGUUCUGUGAUUCUGUGUAACAAUACAGCCAAGGAGCUGCCUGCUGUGGGGACACCUCUCCCUGAAGAGGGACCAGCCGGGGGGGCUGCGGCCACAGGGAGCCCCCCCGGUUACCUCAGACCGCGCUGAGGCGAGGCCCCGGCGCCUCUCAGGGGGGAGCCUCCCCUCAGCGCUCCCUCUCCUGCCCGCCCGGCUCAGCAACAGGUCUGUGCCGGGGGCGGAGAAGGGGGCUGUGUGUGUGUGUGUGUUUUGGGGGGGGGACCCCGCUUCUCCCCGCGGCGUGCCAGGCCCCCAGGCGGCGUGCCAGGCGAACAAAGGGGCCGAGCGCGGAGCGGGCUCCCGCGUUCAGCCAUUUGCAGCGCCCCGCCGCUCCCCACCCCCUUCCUCCCCCUUCCCCGCCGGCGCAGGCUCCGGCUCGCCUCGGAGCCGCCACCACCGCCAGCACCACACCACCACCGCCAGCACCACGCCGGGCCCGAGGUGGGGCCGGGCCGGCUGCGGGCUGUGGGCUGCGGGGCGGGGCGGGAGGCGGGCGGGCAGCCCUGCGGGAGCCCUGCCGGGAGCGCCGCGCUGCUCAACGCCCGUCUCCGCGCUGCCGCAAGAAUUCUGCUGCUGCCAUUAGCAAGCCGUACUAUCAGCCCUCCCUCCUCACUGUGACUGCUCAAGUGGAUGGCAACUCAGGUGUUUGAUAGGACCCUGGUGGGUGGUUUCAGUGGCAGUGGGAGUGCAUAUAAGGAGCAGUGAGAUGAAGAAACCUCUGUGAUGUUCAUGCCAAGGAGACUUUGGCUCAUGGGGAAUCUCCUUCUAGAACAGACUGCAACCACUCUCUUCCCCUGAAAUAGCUGCACAUGGUGAACAAGCUAUGAUAGUACUCCUAACUCUCUGACUUCAAAGGACAUUUCUUUCUCAUUGCCCAGUGCAGUGGGGGACUGGUUGUCACAAAAGGAUGCUGCGCAUAAAAACUUCAUAAAAUUUUUCAUAUAAUAACAGGAAAACCAGAACAGCUUUUCAGGCUGUCGAGGUGCGAUACCAACACCGGGAAGAGGUUUAGGCUCUCACCGACAGCAUCUGACAGGGGAGAACGAAGGUGGUGCAGGCUGGGCCGCGGAGGCUCAGUGCUCUGCGCUGUUCCCCGCAGGUGAUGGGCAUAGCGGUGUGGCCGAGAGCCGUCCCCUGCGGCGCCGCGCAGGGCCAGAGCAGCUAGCCUGG